ensembl:lncRNA
GUCCUCAAUCAGCUGUCUGAAUGACCCUAAAGGCACCAGAACAUCACAUUCAUCAGUAAUAAGGUCCUCAAUCAGCUGUCUGAAUGACCCAAGAGGCACCAGAACAUCACAUUCAUCAGUAAUACGGUCCUCAAUCAGCUGUCUGAAUGACCCAAGAGGCACCAGAACAUCACAUUCAUCAGUAAUAAGGUCCUCAAUCAGCUGUCUGAAUGACCCUAGAGGCACCAGAACAUCACAUUCAUCAGUAAUAAGGUCCUCAAUCAGCUUUCUGAAUGACCCAAGAGGCACCAGAACAUCACAUUCAUCAGUGAUAAGGUCCUCAAUCAGCUGUCUGAAUGACCCAAGAGGCACCAGAACAUCACAUUCAUCAGUGAUAAGGUCCUCAAUCAGCUUUCUGAAUUACCAUGGAGGCACCAGAACAUCACAUUCAUCAGUGAUAAGGUCCUCAAUCAGCUGCCUGAAUUACCAUGGAGGCACCAGAACAUCACAUUCAUCAGUAAUAAGGUCCUCAAUCAGCUUUCUGAAUGACCCAAGAGGCACCAGAACAUCACAUUCAUCAGUGAUAAGGUCCUCAAUCAGCUGCCUGAAUUGCCAUAGAGGCACCAGAACAUCACAUUCAUCAGUAAUAAGGUCCUCAAUCAGCUUUCUGAAUGACCCAAGAGGCACCAGAACAUCACAUUCAUCAGUGAUAAGGUCCUCAAUCAGCUGCCUGAAUUGCCAUAGAGGCACCAGAACAUCACAUUCAUCAGUAAUAAGGUCCUCAAUCAGCUUUCUGAAUGACCCAAGAGGCACCAGAACAUCACAUUCAUCAGUGAUAAGGUCCUCAAUCAGCUGUCUGAAUGACCCAAGAGGCACCAGAACAUCACAUUCAUCAGUAAUAAGGUCCUCAAUCAGCUGUCUGAAUUACCCAAGAGACACCAGAACAUCACAUUCAUCAGUAAUAAGGUCCUCAAUCAGCUGUCUGAAUGACCCUAAAGGCACCAGAACAUCACAUUCAUCAGUAAUAAGGUCCUCAAUCAGCUGUCUGAAUGACCCAAGAGGCACCAGAACAUCACAUUCAUCAGUAAUAAGGUCCUCAAUCAGCUGUCUGAAUUACCAUGGAGACACCAGAACAUCACAUUCAUCAGUAAUAAGGUCCUCAAUCAGCUGUCUGAAUUACCAUGGAGGCACCAGAAC